GUGGGGAAUAUUGGGCAAUGGGGGAAACCCUGACCCAGCGACGCCGCGUGAGGGAAGAAGGCCUUAGGGUCGUAAACCUCUGUUGUGUGGGAAGAAGAGCGUGACGGUACCACACGAGGAAGUCCCGGCUAACUACGUGCCAGCAGCCGCGGUAAUACGUAGGGGACGAGCGUUGUCCGGAUUUACUGGGCGUAAAGGGCGCGUAGGCGGUCAUUUAAGUCAGCUGUGAAAUUGUUUGGCUUAACCGGAUCAUGCGGUUGAAACUGGAUGACUGGAGUGCUGGAGAGGCAAGUGGAAUUCCCAGUGUAGCGGUGAAAUGCGUAGAUAUUGGGAAGAACACCGGUGGCGAAGGCGACUUGCUGGCCAGCAACUGACGCUGAGGCGCGAAAGCCAGGGGAGCAAACGGGAUUAGAUACCCCUGUAGUCC
rnacentral:rRNA from 1 species